rnacentral:lncRNA from 1 species
CACGAUUAGCAUUUUUACUAUGGACUGUGGUCAGAGGACAGGUGAUAACGGCGGAAAACCUACGGACAAGGGGUUUUUGUAUUACAGAGUGGUGCUUUAUGUGUCAGAGGGAUGGGGAGUAGCAGACUUGCAUGAAAGCUUAUUCCGGGCUGUAUAGUUUGGUAUGUGUGAAGAAAAAGGAACAUCCGAUGCGUUGAUGAUCAAACAAGAACAACAGAGCAACUUAGAGAAUUGUUUUAUUUCACAUUGUACACUUGGUUUAAUGCGGUGGCUACUAGUCAUAUAGAUGGGCUGCCCAAUUUUAUGAUGUUUCUUUCAGAUUUGUAUUGAUAAUACACUUCCUUUGUAUUAUGGUUUGAUUAAUAAAAUACUUGAUUACCUUUUAAAAAAAAAAAAAGAUAGUUCAGCCCAUGAUAGAAAACGAAACCACUCCUUGGGCCUGCCAGAAGUAAAGGAACACAAAUAUGUCUCGAUACCCCCGUUGACUACCUCUGCUUGACCAUCGAUUUGUGGGUGAUAGACCGAACUAAGCCUUAGUUUAGUGCCUUGCAGCUGAAAGAGUUCACUCCAAAACUUGCUAACAAACACCUGGUCACGAUCAGUGAUUAUCAAUAUCGACGUACCGUGCAAUCGAAUUAUUUCUUUAAUAAAAACUGCAGCCACAGAAGGUGCUGAGAAAGGGUGUUUAAGGCCCACAAAGUGGCCAUACGUACUCAAGCUUUCCACAACUACCAAGAUUGAGUCGAAACCAUCUGAUUUUGGCAACCCUUCAAUAAAUUCUAUGGACAUAUCGUCCCAAACCUUCUCUGGCACAGGUAAAUAUUGAAGCAGCCCUGCAGGCAUGAGAGUGUAAUAUUUGUUCUGUUGACAGGAGGCACAAGCUGCCACAGUCCUGAAUGUCCUCUUUCAUGCCUCUCCAAUGGAAUGUUUCAGCAAUCCUUUUGUAUGUCUUGAGGAAACCCCCAUGCCCCCUAUUUCGCUAUCGUGUCCCUCUUGUAAUGCCAAUAACACAAAUGGAGAAUCCUUGGGUAGGGCGAGUUUGUCAUGGUAUAAUAGAGCACCCCGUACCAAAGCAAACUCUGGGCACAACGACGAAUCAGCUUACAAUGCCGUGAGAAUCUGGCUCAAUUCUGGGUCCUCUUUUACUGCUUUUGAUAAUUCAUCUUGCAGUAGAACACAUGGCAUACUAAGUGUAGUCAAGGUUGAAGAUAACUCAAUGCAGGAUAAGGCAUUGACUGCCUUAUGUAGCUCUGGCUUGUACUCUAUGUCGAAAUUAAAUCCCAGCAGCUUUGUUAACCACUUUUGAUAUUUUGCAUUUACUAGUCACUGUUCCAGCAGAAAUUUGAGACUCUUCUGAUCAGUCCGGACUACAAAACGCCUCCCAAUCAGAUAGUGUCUCCACUUUUGUAUAGCAAAUAAGAUUGCCAUCAAUUCCUUCUCAUAAAUGGACCUGCUACGGGCUCGAGAUGGGAGAACUUGACUAGAAUAGGCAAUGGGCCUCUGAUGUUGCAUCAAAACUGCCCCCAAACCAUGGCUGGACGCAUCGAUUUCAAUCACAAACGGUUUUAAAAAAUCUGGAAGUGCCAAUACUGGAACCGAAGCCAUAGCCUUCUUUAAACUCUCAAAAGCAGCCUUCGCCUUAUCAUUCCACCCAAAGUUAUCCAUUUUUAAUUGUUGCGUUUGUGGCCAUGCUUUCAUCUCAUAUGCUUCUACAAACCUCCGAUAGUACCUAGUUAGACAAACGAACCCCCUAGUUCUCUAAGGGAUUUUGGUCGCGGCCAAGCUAUCAUAGCAGCCACUUUAGAUGCAUUGGGUUUAGAUUUUGGUGGAGCUCCUUAUUCUUACACUGAUGGCUUUUUUAUAUUUUGUGAUAUUCAUUUAUUGCUCUUCUUUCUCUUUUUCAAAUUUUAUCAAAGACUUUCCAUUUUCCUAUUUUUAAGUCUAACGAUAAUUUUUGCAAUUUUUCAAAUUUGUUGUUAUCAAAAGUGACUUUUAAUUCAUAUCCUUCAAUUCCUUCGUAUUCUUGUAUAUUUAUGUUAUUACUUUCUAUUUCUUCAAUUUCUCUAUUCAGAUUUUGAUUCAUCUUCUGUUUCACUUAUAUAUACUUCUUGAUCAUAGUAUUCUUCAAUAUCUGAUAUUUCACUUAAUUCAUCCUUUAUUUCUAAAUAUUAUUUUUGUAACAUUCUAACUUUCUUUUUAUCACAAUCAGGACUUAUAUGACCUAUUUCUCCACAAUUUCAAUAUUUACAUUGGCUUUUAUUUUUCUUUUUGUUCUUUUGUUGAUUAUAUGAGUUAUUUUUUCUUUUGUAAUAUCUUCUUUUAGGUUUUAUGUAUUUUUUGAUAAAAUUCCUAAUUUUUUUAAAUUUUUUAUUUUUAUACUUUCUUUUAUUUUUUUCUUUCAAGAUUACAUCCCCAUUGCAUAGGGGUUUCCAUAUCUUCACAACGUAUUUUAGUUAAUUUUCCUAUUUUUUCAUUAUUUGUCUUUGUUGACAUAUGUAUGCAAGUUUUUCAAAUAAAAAUUUUAUUCUCGAACCUAAAGUCCUAGGUAUUCCAGUAUUAUCUCUAACAUAUUUUUCGAAUUCUAUUUGAAAAUAUAUUCCCCAUGAACCUGGUAACUUAUUAUAAUACUUGUCUUGGUAUACUUCUUGAUUUUCAUUACUAUAAAAUAGAAUAUAAUAGUAAUUUUUAAAUUCACAAGUAUAUUUUUUAAUUUUACACAUAUCGUAUAUUGUUAAAUUUAUUAAUUUUAUUCUAGCAUUAUCUUUUUCUCUUAUUGAUUCUUUUUCAGCAUUUCUUAUCCAAUUUUCUUCUAAAAACUCAUCUGAAAUAUAUUCUACUAAUUUUUUUAUACCUUGUCUAUCUGACUUGAUUAUUUUUGUUUGUACCUUUCUUUUUAUUAGUAUUUUUGUAUCAUUGCUUAUUCCUUCCCACCAAUUUCUAACAUCCUCUUCAAAGGACGCUAUUAAAAAAUUUAUUCUUCUUUCAAUAUUUUUUCAUGUGUUAUCUUUGUUAUACAAAAAGAACAAUAUCAUUGAAUCUGCCCAAAUUAAUAAGCCUUUUUUAGUAUCUAUUUUGCAGUUUAAAUCUAGUUUUGUUUAUCCAUGAUUAAUUGGUUUAUCAUAAUUACCAUUUAAUUCAAACCUAUCUUUACAUUUAUUUUCUUUAGGUGAUUGUCUAUCUAUUACUUUAUCAUAGAAUUGUCUAUAUGAUUUAUUAUAUGUAUGUGCAUAACUUUCAUCUGUAUCAUGUACUUCUUGUUUAGAGAUUCCUGCUGAAUUAGGUCCUCAUCCAAUAUUUAUUAAAACUUGGUAUUCACUUAUACCAGUUAAACUUAAUUGAUCAAAAUUUUCUAUUGGCAAAUCUAAUUCUUCACUCAUUUUCUUUUUCUUCUAUUUUUAAUUUUCAUAAUGAUUUUUUUCUAGAUUCUUCUUCCUCUUCUAUUAUUUUUGGUAAUAUUUUCUUUCUUAAUUUAUCAUCCAUACUUCAUGUUUCUAUUUCUUUUUCUAUAUGUUUCUUUCCUAUUCGAGUCAUUUCUUUUUCUAUAAGUUUUUUUUUUUUUAUCUAUUUUCUUAUCUUUGUUUUUAUUAUUUUCUUUUAAUUCUCUAAUUUCAAUUUUUAAUAUAUUUAUAUCAUUUCUUGUUUCUUUUACUUCAUUUCUUAAAUCUUGUACAUCAUUUAUUAACAUUUUUAUUAAUGAUUGUAAUUCUUCCAUAUAUUCACUUAUUGACAUCUUAAUUUUUUUCUUAUUUUUAACUCAUAGGUUAAUUUACAUAUUUUAUCUAUUAUUUUUCUAAAUCUUCUCUCAAAUGUAUCUAGAUCUACUAAUUCUUCUUUUACUAUAGUAAAAUAUUUACUCUCAAGUUUUAAUUUUUCACAUCUUAAUUUUAUUAAUUGUCUAUUAUUUGGUAUUAUCAUUUCUUCUGGUAUUAACAUUAUAUUUCGUAUUUCCUCUAGUAUUUUUUCCAUUUUUAUAAGCAAUUUAUUUAAUUUUAAAUGUAUAUUAUUACUUGUACUUUUACUUUUCUUUAUAAUAUAAAUUAUUUUCUUCAUCUUCAUAUAUAUUAAUAAUUUUUUCAUAUGUAUAUAUAUCUUUAUUUUUUCUAUUAUUAAUUUUUCUAAUAUUUGUUCCUUUAUUUCUUGAGGAAGUUCUUUAAUUAUUGUUAAUUUCGUUAUUUUUAAUCUAUUAUGAAUAGAUUCCAAAAAUAUAUAAUUACAUUUUUCUUCUUCUAAACACUAAUAAUUAUCUAUUUUUCUUAUUGUUAUUUUCAUGAUUACUAUGUCUCUGAUACCAAAAAAAAUGGUGCUACUUACAGCAAACAAAAAUCAAAUAAAUCAAAAAAAUUCAAAUAAAUAUAAUAAAUCAAAUAAAUUGGUAAUCUAUUAAAAUUUAAGCAGUAUUUAAUUUUUUAAGAACUAAAAUGAAAUUUUUUUAUUUUUCAUUAACUUAUUAUGUAAUAUUAUAAAAGGGGUAUUUUUUAUUUUUUAUUAAUUUAUUAUGUAAUAUUAUAAAAGGGGUAUUUUGGGUAUCAAAAUUAGCCGAGCUUUAUACCUUUCUAUUUGGCUAAUUUCCAUGUAUUUGCCAGUUUCCUACCUCUUGCUCAAAUAGGGUUCAUUUUAGUGCUUUAUUUCCGUUCUAUCGACUCAAAAAUUAUUGUUUAUUGGUUCACUUUGUUUAAAUCUUGAUUGGGAUUUUCUAAUUUUUGUUUAAAGAUGGAAACCCCAUUUGGAAGAAAUCAAAGCUUUGUUAUUUGAUAAUCCAAAAUACCAUUCCGAGGGCUCACACGUUCGGGGAGAAAUUGAAUCGGGAAUUAUCAAUGUUUGAUUCGAAGAGAACCCAUUUGGCAAUUUCUCCUAGAAUCGAAAUUUAUUUGUAGGACUGGGUCUGGUUAACCCUAAGUUUCUUUCAAAACUCGUGGCAAACAUUUUGCGUGUCUUGAAAUUGCACACGAGUAUGGGUUGUGUUUGUGGUAAGUGCUGUAGCAGAUUUCGACGAACCUCAGGUGGUGAUAACAAGGAAGAAUUGGGGGUGUAUCCUGGUCAGAAUACACAUAUACUUGCUAACCGGUUGGUAGAGAUUGUGAAUGUUCCUUCACACAAUUUCAGGUUAGAGUAUUCUGUUCUUACACAACGUGGUCAUUAUCCUGAAACACCUGGUAAGGAAAAUCAAGAUAGUUAUUGUAUCAGAACGAAUAUUCAGGGCAACCCUGAUGUUCAUUUCUUUGGUGUGUUUGAUGGGCAUGGACAGUUUGGAACCGAGUGCUCGAAUUUUGUUAAGGAUAGGCUCGUUGAGAUUUUAUCAAUUGAUGCUGCAUUACUAGUUGAUCCGGUCAAGGCUUAUAGUGCUGCAUUUUUGGCAACAAAUGAUGAACUUCAUAAUAGUGAUAUAGAUGAUUCCAUGAGUGGUACUACGGCCAUAACAGCUCUUUUGAUUGGGGAUAAGCUUUAUGUUGCAAAUGUUGGCGACUCGAGAGCAGUGUUAGCUGUCAAGGAAGGGAAUAAAAUUGUCGGUCAAGAUUUAUCUCGUGACCAGACGCCAUUCCGGGUAGAUGAAUGUGAGAGAGUGAAGCUUUGUGGGGCUAGGGUUUUGAGUGUUGAUCAAGUGGAAGGGCUUAAGGAUCCAGGAAUACAAUCUUGGGGAGAUGAGGAAACUGAGGGUGGCGAUCCACCUAGAUUAUGGGUUCAAGAUGGGAUGUAUCCAGGAACUGCAUUUACGCGUAGUGUAGGGGAUAGACUGGCGGAGAAGAUUGGUGUUGUUGCUGAUCCGGAAGUGUCCAUGGUAGAGCUUUCAGCUAAGCACCCAUUCUUUGUUGUUGCAAGUGAUGGGGUGUUUGAGUUCCUACCUAGCCAAACUGUUGUGGACAUGGUACAUGACACAUUUAAUGAUCAGAAAUAUUUCAUCUGUUGUUCUUUUUCAUUUACUCCUUCACCAUUAAGAUUUUGGAAGUUUAUGCAUAAAUAAUGUCGCUUUUGUUUGCCUUGCUAUUAGGGUUGAUUUUAUCUAUAAUUGAUAUGCAUGCAUAUGUAUAAUUUGAGAAGUUCAACUUUAUGGAAAUAUUAAACUCCAUAAAUGUAAAACACACGAACAUUCAUGUGAAACUAGAGCCCAACUGGAAGCUUUGUAGUAAGACUUCAUUCUUCUUUUCCUUACUGCACUUACAAAAUAUUCUAUUGACCAUGUUAAAAUGGACUCGAGUACAUUUUACAAAUCGACCAUUUAUCUAACAUUAGUAGUGGUCUAAUUUGCGAAGUUCAACUUUAUGGAAAUAUUAAACUCCAUAAAUGUAAAACACACGAACAUUCAUGUGAAACUAGAGCCCAACUGGAAGCUUUGUAGUAAGACUUCAUUCUUCUUUUCCUUACUGCACUUACAAAAUAUUCUAUUGACCAUGUUAAAAUGGACUCGAGUACAUUUUACAAAUCGACCAUUUAUCUAACAUUAGUAGUGGUCUAAUUUGCAUUAAAUGAUAAGCCUAAUUAAAUGGCUUCCAUAUUCUUUGCAUUUAAUUGGGCUUAUCAUUUAAUGCCACCUAGACUAGUAUUAUAACACCAAUGGUUGUAGAAAGGAUUAUUCUUCUUUUACUUGCGGUGCAUACAAAAUAUUUUAUUGAUCAUGUUACUAAAUGGACUCGAGUACAUUUCAUAUGAUUGUGAAAACUAUAAUUGCCCUUGGACUUUGAGAUCUUGGUCUAUAUCAAUGUUUGAAGAAGUAAAGAAACAUUUAUAUCAUUGUAAUUGGUACUUCUUGCACAUGUGUUAGCUCCUUAUUUCUAGUAUCAUCUUGAGUUAUUCCUAUAAAUGUGCAGGUAAGCAUUGCUUACAAUUACUGCUCAAUGUAACAUAUGGUUACUGAAAUGUGGCCUGCUUUUGAUUGACCCAUAUACCUACACAAAUGGCAUGGGAAUUUGAUUGAUUGAUUUAUUCCCUUUUUACAUAAGGAAGAAGAAAACUUACCUUUAGAGGACAAUCAACACACGGUUCCUUUAUCCCCUCUUACCUUUCAUGAUAAAUUGGAUAAACUCCAAAGAAAAUAAAUAAAUAGCAUUAUCACAAGUACCCCCUCCUCUUCCUCCUCAGUUUGCAUAUGGACUGAUCAUGAAUUUAGUUUACCUUUUAGAAAUCACGUGUUAUGUUUUUGAUUUGUAAAUUUAGCAUUGACCUUGAUCGAUUAUUGUGCUCAAUAUGGCUUCAUGCUUUUCUUAUGCGUAUAGUUUAUUAAUUGACGCUACCAAGUAACAACAGAGUGCAGCAGUGAUAUUUUUUUCCCACUUAUAUCUGGCAGUAAUUUCCGUCUAUCUUUGCAGGUUACAAAAUAUCCUGAUCCCAGGGAUGCAUGUUCCGCCAUUGCCACAGAAUCAUAUAAAUUAUGGUUAGAGCAUGAAAAUCGGACAGAUGAUAUAACCAUCAUCCUUGUACAAAUUAAAGAAUUGACUAAUGUAUGAAUGAUUUGAUUCUUAGUUGUUCACGGCUUUUCUUAUUUGAUAAUCAUUUUUCCUUAACCACCAGUGAAAUAUUGUUUCUUUCCAUGGAUUUAUACGACAUGUAGUGUUGUUACAACACAUAAUUUUAUCCUUAAAUAUUUUUGUGCUUACCACAGUGAGUGGAAAUAAUGUCCGUUUUGUCAUCAAGGCUUGAUAAGUUCACUAAAAAGGGAUCGGUGCAACUUGCCAAGUAUUGCUAUAUUGAGAAACUGUUAAUGAACACACAACACACUGAUUUUCUGUGAUGCAGAGGUAGAGCAAAUCAGGAAUUUGCAGCGUUUGCUCUUAUGCUUUGAAGCAGUAUCUGGAUUGAAAAUAAGUCUGGGGAAAUCUGAAGCUAUCAUAGUGGGAGGUGGAUAACAUGGUGGAGUUGGCUACUAUACUAGGAUGCAGGGUUGCGCGAUUACCUAUGACAUAUCUUGGGCUACCUUUAGGCGCUUGGUUUAAAAGCACACAUAUCUGGAAUAGUAUUGUUGAAAGGGUGGAGAGAAGGCUAGCGGGGUGGAAGCGUAUGUACCUCUCAAAGGGAGGUCGUCUUACUCUCAUAAGAUCCAAGUUGUCGAACCUCCCUUCUUACUUCAUGUCGUUUUCUAUUCCUAUUGCAGUGGCAAAAAAAUUGGAAAGGAUCCAAAGGAAUUUUCUUUAGGGAGGAUUAAUGCAGGAGAUGAAAUUACAUUUGAUUAAUUGGGGUAUCGUAUGUUCUCCCAUGAGGUUGGGUGGUCUCGGAUUGAGGAGUUUCAUACUGUUUAAUAAAGUUUUGUUGGGUAAAUGGUUGUGGCUAUUUGGAAUGGAGAGGGAGUUUUGGGAGAGAAAUUAUAGGAGCAAAAUAUGUUGUUAUGGAGAGGGGAUGGUGUUUAGUCGAGAGUCGAGGCUCUUAUGGGGUAAGUCUGUGGCGAUAUAUCCGGUGAGGGUUGACGUUUGUAGUGGGGAAUGGUCAUACUAUCAAUUUUUGGGAUGAUUGUUGGUGUUGAGAUCAACCACUAAGAUUGAAAUUUCCUUGUAUCGUAUUGCAUUGUUGCCGUCUGUCAUGGUGAAUGAUGUUUUAGAUAUUCAUAAUGGGAGUAUCAGUUGGAACAUUGCUUGUGCACGGGGUUUACACAACUACGCGCUGUUUUUGACAUCUUUAAAUGAGGUACAAAUCAGGGCAGGAUAUGGUGAUUGCAGUAGGUGGAGGUUGGCACGGGAUUGAAUGAUUUGAUUCUUAGUUGUUCACGGCUUUUCUUAUUUGAUAAUCAUUUUUCCUUAACCACCAGUGAAAUAUUGUUUCUUUCCAUGGAUUUAUACGACAUGUAGUGUUGUUACAACACAUAAUUUUAUCCUUAAAUAUUUUUGUGCUUACCACAGUGAGUGGAAAUAAUGUCCGUUUUGUCAUCAAGGCUUGAUAAGUUCACUAAAAAGGGAUCGGUGCAACUUGCCAAGUAUUGCUAUAUUGAGAAACUGUUAAUGAACACACAACACACUGAUUUUCUGUGAUGCAGAGGUAGAGCAAAUCAGGAAUUUGCAGCGUUUGCUCUUAUGCUUUGAAGCAGUAUCUGGAUUGAAAAUAAGUCUGGGGAAAUCUGAAGCUAUCAUAGUGGGAGGUGGAUAACAUGGUGGAGUUGGCUACUAUACUAGGAUGCAGGGUUGCGCGAUUACCUAUGACAUAUCUUGGGCUACCUUUAGGCGCUUGGUUUAAAAGCACACAUAUCUGGAAUAGUAUUGUUGAAAGGGUGGAGAGAAGGCUAGCGGGGUGGAAGCGUAUGUACCUCUCAAAGGGAGGUCGUCUUACUCUCAUAAGAUCCAAGUUGUCGAACCUCCCUUCUUACUUCAUGUCGUUUUCUAUUCCUAUUGCAGUGGCAAAAAAAUUGGAAAGGAUCCAAAGGAAUUUUCUUUAGGGAGGAUUAAUGCAGGAGAUGAAAUUACAUUUGAUUAAUUGGGGUAUCGUAUGUUCUCCCAUGAGGUUGGGUGGUCUCGGAUUGAGGAGUUUCAUACUGUUUAAUAAAGUUUUGUUGGGUAAAUGGUUGUGGCUAUUUGGAAUGGUGAGGGGAGUUUUGGGAGAGAAAUUAUAGGAGCAAAAUAUGUUGUUAUGGAGAGGGGAUGGUGUUUAGUCGAGAGUCGAGGCUCUUAUGGGGUAAGUCUGUGGCGAUAUAUCCGGUGAGGGUUGACGUUUGUAGUGGGGAAUGGUCAUACUAUCAAUUUUUGGGAUGAUUGUUGGUGUUGAGAUCAACCACUAAGAUUGAAAUUUCCUUGUAUCGUAUUGCAUUGUUGCCGUCUGUCAUGGUGAAUGAUGUUUUAGAUAUUCAUAAUGGGAGUAUCAGUUGGAACAUUGCUUGUGCACGGGGUUUACACAACUACGCGCUGUUUUUGACAUCUUUAAAUGAGGUACAAAUCAGGGCAGGAUAUGGUGAUUGCAGUAGGUGGAGGUUGGCACGGGAUGACAUGUUUUUAGUCGGCACUUUCUUUAAAUCUUUAUUGGGGGUUGAGAAUAGCUCUUUCCCUUAGAAGGCGGUGUGGAAGAGUAAAUUGCUACCACGAUUAGCAUUUUUACUAUGGACUGUGGUCAGAGGACAGGUGAUAACGGCGGAAAACCUACGGACAGGGGGUUUUUGUAUUACAGAGUCGUGCCUUAUGUAUAGGAGGGAUGGCGAGCCGAUUGAUCACUUGUUCCUCCAUUGUGAUGACGCUAGUUUACUGUGGAAUGAGAUUUUCGCAUUGCAACACAUAGAUUGGGCGAUGCCAAGGUGUAUGGAAGACGUGUUAAAGGCAUGGGGGAGAAAAUUUCGUGACAAGGAUAGCAAACUUGCAUAGGAGCUUAUUCCGGGCUGCAUAGUUUUUUGUGUGUGGAGAGAAAGGAACAGCCGAUGUUUUGACGAUCGAACAAGAACAAUAGAGCAACUUAGAGAAUUGUUUUAUUUCACAUUGUACACUUGGUUUAAUGUGAUGGCUACUAGUCAUAUAGAUGGAC